rnacentral:lncRNA from 1 species
AGACCUCCACGUCAAACCAUAAAACACCUCUCUAAUCCUCUAACCAAAAUAUAGGCAUACAACACCCAAAGAACAACAACAAGAUAUCCCCUCUCCUGCAGUAUUUGUCAACUUUGAACAAUCCUCAAAGUUCCCAGAACCACUACAAAAAAAAUAUUGUAUAAUGGAGGUUAUUUUGGCGAGGUUAUAAAAACCCUCCCCAA